AACGAACGCUGGCGGCAGGCUUAACACAUGCAAGUCGAGCGCCCCGCAAGGGGAGCGGCAGACGGGUGAGUAACGCGUGGGAAUCUACCCAUCCCUACGGAAUAGCUCCGGGAAACUGGAAUUAAUACCGUAUACGCCCUACGGGGGAAAGAUUUAUCGGGGAUGGAUGAGCCCGCGUUGGAUUAGCUAGUUGGUGGGGUAAAGGCCUACCAAGGCGACGAUCCAUAGCUGGUCUGAGAGGAUGAUCAGCCACAUUGGGACUGAGACACGGCCCAACGUCCUACGGGAGGCAGAAGUGUGGAAUAUUGGACAAUGGGGGCAACCCUGAUCCAGCCAUGCUGAGUGAGUGAUGAAGGCCUUAGGGUUGUAAAGCUCUUUCACCGGGGAAGAUAAUGACGGUACCCGGAGAAGAAGCCCCGGCUAACUUCGUGCCAGCCGCCGCCGUAA
rnacentral:rRNA from 1 species